CUCAACCCCUCGAAAAGACUGUCUAGAACUCUAUUCACUCUCUCAGCAACCAAAGUCUCAACUGAGAUUGCGAUCUCAAUCUCAGCCAUCUCAAUCUUUCAAACUUAAAAAUACUUACCCAAACCUAGUCUCUCCUUCAACCCCGAGAAUCCUUUCCAUUCGCGUCCGGCUUAAUAGAGUUUUUCAACAACCACUCAAGAGAUUAGAGGAAGCUUGACUAUUCUGUUUUCGAUCGGGUUAGUGGCCAGCCGGGAUUCAGACUUGUGCUGUUGCUUCUUAUAGCAUUGCUGUUGGAGGUGAGAAAAGCUUGAAGCUUUAUUGUGAAUUUUGCUGUGUAAGGUUUUAGUUUUCGUAGUAUUUUGUACUGAUAUGUGACAUUAUAAGAGAGUUUGGGUCUUACUUGUUGCUUUGUUGGUCUCUUAGCUUUGGUUCCUCUCAGAAAGGUACGUUAUUAAAUUGUUUGUUACUUUAUGGCUUAAUUGGUGAUUGAUAAGCUUAUUUUUGUGAUUCUAUAACUAUUGGGGCUUAAUUGGUUAUGGGUGUAAUUCUAGGUUAUUCAAUGGGAUUUCUUGUUUGGGCAUAUUAGCUUUAGAUUGGUAUAUUGACUAUAUUCUACAAGCUGUUGGUGCAACUGUAUAUCAUUUGCAAACAGAUUAAUAAAAGAGGCGAUACAGUGGAUGAGAAGAUCAAGAAGCUUGAUUUUGAACUUAAUAGAUACAAAGAGCAUAUCAAGAAGACAAGGCCUGACGCUGCACAUGAAGCUAAUAAGGCGAGAGCGAUGAGGGUUCUCAAGCAAAAAUGAAUCAUUGGGACGUCCUCUUCAUAAUGCUAUUGUUUGGAUGGUUGGUAGUUGGUACAGCUCUAUUUACAGUGCAAGUGUGUUUGGUAUCUCAGCGGAGUCAAUGAAGUUGUCUUCUGUUUGAUAAGGACCAACUAAAGUUUCAGAUGGAGAAGGCCGAGAAGGAUAGAUGUAAAGUUCGGGCCGAAUGGGAAAAGUAUGUUUCUCC
rnacentral:lncRNA from 1 species